UUCACCUUCCCACGUCCCCACGCCUAUGCUUUUUCUUGAACCCGUCCCACCACUCGGCAGCCCAUCAAACUCCCGAUCUCCACAGUAAAAAAACUCCCGAUCCCCAAUUCCGAAUUCUCCUCGAAUGCAUGCUUACCCUGGCAGCAGCCGCCACAGAUCAAUCCAUCCUAUUCCCUUAUUCUGUGCUUCCACCUCAGGCCAUCCGACGACCGGCGGCGCGGCUGCCUCAUCAGUAUCCCCUUUACCCUCCUCCUCCUAGCCACAUCACUUGACCUUGCCUACAUCUUCUUCCUCAUGGUCACGCAGGGACACGGAACCGCCGUGGAGCUCUGAGGCCCGGAGGUCAACUGGGGUUCCGGACAGCGCUAGGCCUCCGCCGCCGCUGCAGGGCCCUGUGCCGGGACGGGGAUUGAAGCUGCGACUCGUGGGUCCUCUAGCUGAGGAAGAUAGAAAGGCUUUUGAGGAGGGGCUUGGGAAGAACACCAAAGUUGUAGAUGAACUCAACUGCUUGCUGAAGGAUACCUCGGUAAAGCUGAAUGUGCAGAACAAAAUAUCUUAUCUUUGUCUUUGUAGUUACUCUAAUCAUUUAUGUUUACUGAAACGAUGCUCCUGCUAUAGUCCUUAACUCCUUCCCUUUUAGCGUGUGAACUAUCUAGGCUGUAACUGCAUAAAACUAAAAAAAUCCAAUAACUUGUAGGUAAACGCCCUGACUACCAAGCAAACAACACAUGUGACAUAGAAUUUGAAAUUCUGG